UUGUACGUUACCUACAGAAGAAGCACCGGCUAACUCCGUGCCAGCAGCCGCGGUAAUACGGAGGGUGCGAGCGUUAAUCGGAAUUACUGGGCGUAAAGCGCAUGCAGGCGGCCUGUUAAGUCAGAUGUGAAAGCCCGGGGCGUUAACCUCGGAAUUGCAUUUGAAACUGGCAGGCUAGAGUCUUGUAGAGGGGGGUAGGAAUUUCAGGUGUAGCGGUGAAAUGCGUAGAGAUCUGAAGGAAUACCAGUGGCGAAGGCGGCCCCCUGGACAAAGACUGACGCUCAGAUGCGAAAGCGUGGGGAGCAAACAGGAUUAGAUACCCUGGUAG
rnacentral:rRNA from 1 species